UAAUACGGAGGGUGCGAGCGUUGUUCGGAAUCACUGGGCGUAAAGCGCGUGUAGGCGGUCCGUUAAGUCUGAUGUGAAAGCCCGGGGCUCACCCCCGGAAGGGCAUUGGAAACUGGCGGACUCGAGUCCCGGAGAGGAGGGUGGAAUUCCUGGUGUAGCGGUGAAAUGCGUAGAUAUCAGGAGGAACACCGGUGGCGAAGGCGGCCCUCUGGACGGUGACUGACGCUGAGACGCGAAAGCGUGGGGAGCAAACAGG
rnacentral:rRNA from 1 species